ACGGGAGGCAGCAGUGGGGAAUAUUGCACAAUGGAGGAAACUCUGAUGCAGCAACGCCGCGUGAAGGAUGAAGGUCUUCGGAUCGUAAACUUCUGUCCUUAGGGAAGAUAAUGACGGUACCUUUGGAGGAAGCCCCGGCUAACUACGUGCCAGCAGCCGCGGUAAUACGUAGGGGGCAAGCGUUAUCCGGAAUUAUUGGGCGUAAAGAGUGCGUAGGUGGUUACCUAAGCAGGGGGUGAAAGGCAUAGGCUUAACCAAUGUUAGCCCCCUGAACUGGGCUACUUGAGUGCAGGAGGGGAAAGCGGAAUUCCUAGUGUAGCGGUGAAAUGCGUAGAUAUUAGGAGGAACACCAGUGGCGAAGGCGGCUUACUGGACUGACACUGACGCUGAGGCACGAAAGCGUGGGGAGCAAACAGGAUUAGAUACCCUGGUA
rnacentral:rRNA from 1 species